AUGUGCCAGGAAGCCCCCAGCUGGGCUCCACCGAGGAGCCCCCCGCCUUGCUGCCCCCCGGCUGCUGUGCCCCCCCGGCAGAGGCCACCCCGCUGGGACCCUCGGGCAGCCCCGUGCUCAGCCCUGGCGCCCCCUCCCUGGACGCCCUCUCCCCCUUCUUCAAGAAGAAAGCGCAGAUCCUGGAGGUGCUGCGCAAGCUGGAGGAGACGGACCCUCUGCUGGGACCCCCCCCGGGGCCCCCCCACUCCCAGGGACCCCCCGAUUCCCCCUGCUCCCCUGAACCCCGGGCCGGGGCCGACGCACCGGGCUGGACCCCCUGCCCUCUGCGGGGUCUGGGGGCAGCUGCGGGGUGGCGGGGGGCCGAGGGGAGCCCCUGCUCGUCGCCGGAGGAGGCCGUCCCCCCGCGGGGGGCUCUGCUCAGCGCCUUGGCCGAGCGGCUGCUGCGGGGGGACGGGGGGUGCUGCCGCCUCAACGGUGAGCCCCCGGCCCCCCCCCCGGCAGCGUGGCGGCGGCCCCGAGCACCCCGCUUUCCUGGGGCUCUACGCGCCAUGUGAGGAGAGCCCCGAGGGUGGCUUCACCCCUCUUUCCCCCCGCCUGGGGCUUCCUUCCCCUGGGGGGGGGGGCGGCACCCCCUUUGCCUUCCCCUUCCAAGGUGCUCAAGGCGCUGAAGCUGCCGGGCCCCCCCGGGGCGCUGCGCCUCAGCCCCCAGCUCGCCCGCGCCUCCAAAAUCCCCUGCCGCAGCACCAACCCCGAGGCCUCGCCGGUGCUCAGCCGCCGUGCGUCCCCCGAUGCCCCCCCCCGAGCCGGGCCCCCCCCAGCCCCCCCUUUUCCCCCCCCCCUCACCCUUACGAGGCAGCCGAGCAGCCCCUGGGGCCGCUGCCCGUGGGCCCCCCCGCCGGUGGCGAGCGAGCAGCCGCGUCCCCCCCGAGCCCCCGGCGUGGUGCCGGGGGCUCGGCCCCCUCCCGCCGCCCCGGGAAGAAGCCCCCCGAGCCGGGCUACUUGCCCUUCAAGGAGCGCCUGGCUGCCCUGGGCAAGCUGCGGGGUGCUGACGGCCGGGAGCCCCCCCCCUGGGCCCGGGAGGCCUGA
rnacentral:lncRNA from 1 species